rnacentral:rRNA from 1 species
GUGGGGAAUCUUGCGCAAUGGGCGAAAGCCUGACGCAGCCAUGCCGCGUGAAUGAUGAAGGUCUUAGGAUUGUAAAAUUCUUUCACCGGGGACGAUAAUGACGGUACCCGGAGAAGAAGCCCCGGCUAACUUCGUGCCAGCAGCCGCGGUAAUACGAAGGGGGCUAGCGUUGCUCGGAAUUACUGGGCGUAAAGGGCGCGUAGGCGGACAGUUUAGUCAGAGGUGAAAGCCCAGGGCUCAACCUCGGAAUUGCCUUUGAUACUGGCUGUCUUGAGUACGGGAGAGGUGAGUGGAACUCCGAGUGUAGAGGUGAAAUUCGUAGAUAUUCGGAAGAACACCAGUGGCGAAGGCGACUCACUGGCCCGUUACUGACGCUGAGGCGCGAAAGCGUGGGGAGCAAACAGGAUUAGAUACCCCGGUAGUCC